AACCUACGGGGCGCAGCAGUGAGGGAUAUUGGUCAAUGGGGGAAACCCUGAACCAGCAACGCCGCGUGAGGGAAGACGGUUUUCGGAUUGUAAACCCCUGUCAUGUGGGAGCAAAUUAAAAAGAUAGUACCACAAGAGGAAGAGACGGCUAACUCUGUGCCAGCAGCCGCGGUAAUACAGAGGUCUCAAGCGUUGUUCGGAAUCACUGGGCGUAAAGCGUGCGUAGGCUGUUUCGUAAGUCGUGUGUGAAAGGCGCGGGCUCAACCCGCGGACGGCACAUGAUACUGCGAGACUAGAGUAAUGGA
rnacentral:rRNA from 1 species